rnacentral:lncRNA from 1 species
AGCGCCAGGGUCCCCAGGAAGAGCACUGGAGCUCGCUGUGCUGCAGCGUUGGAAUUCAUCCCAAGACUCCCUCCACUGCCCAGGAGUUUCUUCCAAUUCGAGGGCAAGUUCUGAUUUUUUCUGAGUCUGACGAUGGUGCGCCUGCUUGCACUUUCGGGUGCAUUAAGGCCAGGCAGUUCUCCUCCUGCAGUUUCCCCACCUCCUCCUCCCCACCUGUGAUCUUAGCUACUCAAGCCAGGGGAGGCAGUUCAACCGGACAGAGCGGGACCCUGGAGUUUGCCUGUAACAAUGUCACGUUUUCUGAGAGAGGCACAUUCACCCUGUGAAAGACAGCAG